CACAUGUCUACGUGUAUUGUGGCGUCCUGUAGGCAGAAGUAUGAGUGUAUGUUAGACCAUGUGGGAUCACGAAAUGCAUAAUCCUGAAGGGCUUAAAUUAUCUUGAUUGGACGUUAACGGAUCGGCGAUGAGCAGUCAAUGGCAUCCGUAACCAGCUACUUCAAGGCGGAGAAGUCGUAGUGCCCUUUCAAGGGUUGUUGCUGGAUUUGCAUCCGCGUCGCUGGCGCCGUGACGAGACAAUCAACUUCGGUUGUUGAGGAUGGUGAUGGGGAUGAUUAACGCUCCUUUGCGAAUUCAAACAGAAUGGUGAAAGAUGUGUGGGAGAAAGAUGUCGUGUCGGCUGUGAUUCCUUGUUCCUCCGGUCAACUCUGGUUAGGGUAGUGGUUGGUGCUAGGGCAACAUGGACACCAAAUUGCGCCAAAUAUGGUUGCUGAUGAUGUUUCAUUUUUUGAGUACCAACAGUUCAGUGCAGCAUUGUCUCGGUAUGGAACGGUGCGAGGGUAUCGCUCUGAAAAAUGUUACUAUUGUGGAUGUUUGUCACCUAAUUCUCGAUUCAAUCCUGGUUUUAACUUGCGUGGAGCUGCUUAUUAAACAAGCAGUUGUGCAUGGUGCAGAGAGGUCAAUCUGAAAAGAGGUCGUCGAAUACAAAAGAUGAAAAGAAAAAAUGUGAGUUAUGUUCUUUAUCACUGUCGAUUAUUAUGGAAGGGUUACUUGUUUUUUCUAUGCUUAAGUAUUGAGUACUUCGUAAGGAUUUUCCUCAUCAAUUUCGCGUGACAUAUGGUUCAGCCUCGUUUGUUUUCUGAGAUUUUAGCUCUGCUUUUUCCCACGAUCAUCCUUGGUGGAGGCUGUUCCAGCUAAAAGGCAGCAAGUGACUAGUGGAUUUGAAACACCAAGCAUGGCAUCAAAGUUUCAACGAGAUUGAGCAUGUCUGGCAUGAGACUUCACUACUUUCGGAACCUGGGUUAGGACAAAUCUUUUAGCAGAAUAGUUCGCGGGAGAUGAAGGAGACGGCAAAUUGCACAUUCCCGGCAAAUUUGCACAUUCCUCGGAAAAUUGCACUGCUGAGGCGGCAAGUUCACAAAGAAUCAAAACGUGACUUGCAGCAAGGUUUCAAAGUAGAGUGUUAUCAUAAAUGUAAGUAUUCUGGCAUCAGUAGGCUGUGUUGCUUGGAAUUCGUCGCCUAUCCCCACCCAGGUCUUACUUUGAAAUAAGUUCCACUUUGUUUACCACUUCCGAGUUUUUACAACGUUCAGGACAAAUUCUUUGAAUGCCUGAUCAAAUAGUGGUUGCUGGACAAACUCUGAAACAGCUUCUCACAAACUGAAUGGGAUAAGCGUUUUACUUCUGCACAUGUAUGAUUCAGCCACAUCUAAGAAAUGAAGAUACAUUUGAUUCUCA